rnacentral:rRNA from 1 species
CGAAGGAGCUUACCAUGCAAGUCGAGCGGAGAGAGGUAGCUUGCUACUGAUCUUAGCGGCGGACGGGUGAGUAAUGCUUAGGAAUCUGCCUAUUAGUGGGGGACAACAUCUCGAAAGGGAUGCUAAUACCGCAUACGUCCUACGGGAGAAAGCAGGGGAUCUUCGGACCUUGCGCUAAUAGAUGAGCCUAAGUCGGAUUAGCUAGUUGGUGGGGUAAAGGCCUACCAAGGCGACGAUCUGUAGCGGGUCUGAGAGGAUGAUCCGCCACACUGGGACUGAGACACGGCCCAGACUCCUACGGGAGGCAGCAGUGGGGAAUAUUGGACAAUGGGGGGAACCCUGAUCCAGCCAUGCCGCGUGUGUGAAGAAGGCCUUAUGGUUGUAAAGCACUUUAAGCGAGGAGGAGGCUACUUUAGUUAAUACCUAGAGAUAGUGGACGUUACUCGCAGAAUAAGCACCGGCUAACUCUGUGCCAGCAGCCGCGGUAAUACAGAGGGUGCAAGCGUUAAUCGGAUUUACUGGGCGUAAAGCGCGCGUAGGCGGCUAAUUAAGUCAAAUGUGAAAUCCCCGAGCUUAACUUGGGAAUUGCAUUCGAUACUGGUUAGCUAGAGUGUGGGAGAGGAUGGUAGAAUUCCAGGUGUAGCGGUGAAAUGCGUAGAGAUCUGGAGGAAUACCGAUGGCGAAGGCAGCCAUCUGGCCUAACACUGACGCUGAGGUGCGAAAGCAUGGGGAGCAAACAGGAUUAGAUACCCUGGUAGUCCAUGCCGUAAACGAUGUCUACUAGCCGUUGGGGCCUUUGAGGCUUUAGUGGCGCAGCUAACGCGAUAAGUAGACCGCCUGGGGAGUACGGUCGCAAGACUAAAACUCAAAUGAAUUGACGGGGGCCCGCACAAGCGGGGGAGCAUGGGGUUUAAUUCGAUGCAACGCGAAGAACCUUACCUGGCCUUGACAUAGUAAGAACUUUCCAGAGAUGGAUUGGUGCCUUCGGGAACUUACUUACAGGGGCUGCAUGGCUGUCGUCAGCUCGUGCCCGGAAA